CGAGCAAGCUUAAACCGUUAGGUGUAGGCGCAGCGAAAGCGAGUCUGAAUAGGGCGUUCAGUUCGACGGAUUAGACCCGAAACCAGGUGAUCUAGGCAUGAGCAGGCUGAAGGUGCGGUAACACGCACUGGAGGGCCGAACCCACCUAUGUUGAAAAAUGGGGGGAUGACUUGUGCCUAGGGGUGAAAGGCCAAUCAAACCUGGAGAUAGCGGGUUCUCCGCGAAAUCUAUUUAGGUAGAGCGUCGGACGAAUACUCUCGGGGGUAGAGCACUGGAUGGGCUAGGGGGCCUCAACGGCUUACCAAACCUAACCAAACUCCGAAUACCGAGAAGUACUAUCCGGCAGACACACGGCGGGUGCUAAGGUCCGUCGUGGAAAGGGAAACAGCCCUAACCGCCAGCUAAGGUCCCUAAGUUACGGCUAAGUGUGAAAGGAUGUGAAAACCCCAAAACAACCAGGAGGUUGGCUUAGAAGCAGCCAUCCUUUAAAGAAAGCGUAACAGCUCACUGGUCUAAAUAAGGGUUCUGCGCCGACAAUGUAACGGGGCUCAAGCCGUACACCGAAGCUGCGGGUGCGCACGCAAGUGCGCGCGGUAGCGGAGCGUUCCGUAAGCCUGUGAAGGGUUGCCGUGAGGCGGCCUGGAGGUAUCGGAAGUGAGAAUGCUGACAUGAGUAACGAUAAGGAGUGUGAGAGACACUCCCGCCGAAAGUCCAAGGGUUCCUGCGUAAAGCUAAUCUGCGCAGGGUUAGCCGGCCCCUAAGGCGAGGGCGAAAGCCGUAGUCGAUGGGAAUGAGGGUCAAUAUUCCCUCAGCCAGUGGGUGGUGACGAAUGUCCAAAAGUUGUCAGGGCUUAUCGGAUUGGUCCUGGCGGCGAAGGAGUUCCAGGAAAUAGCCCCCACAACUAAUGACCGUACCCCUAAACCGACACAGGUGGACAGGUAGAGCAUACCAAGGCGCUUGAGAGAACCGCAUUGAAGGAACUCGGCAAAAUGCACCCGUAACUUCGGGAGAAGGGUGACCUCUCAUUGGGCAACCAGUGUGGGGUGGCACAGACCAGGGGGUGGCGACUGUUUACUAAAAACACAGGGCUCUGCGAAGUCGCAAGACGACGUAUAGGGUCUGACGCCUGCCCGGUGCCGGAAGGUUAAAGAGAGGGGUGAGAGCUCUGAACUGAAGCCCCGGUAAACGGCGGCCGUAACUAUAACGGUCCUAAGGUAGCGAAAUUCCUUGUCGGGUAAGUUCCGACCUGCACGAAUGGCGUAACGACUUCCCCGCUGUCUCCAAUGCGGACUCAGUGAAAUUGAACUCCCCGUGAAGAUGCGGGGUACCUGCGGUCAGACGGAAAGACCCCGUGCACCUUUACUAUAGCUUCGCACUGGUAUUCGUAACUACAUGUGUAGGAUAGGUGGGAGGCUUUGAACCUGGAGCGCCAGUUUCAGGGGAGCCAACCUUGAAAUACCACCCUUGUAAUUAUGGAUAUCUAACCGCGGCCCAUGAACCUGGGUCCGGGACCGUGCGUGGUGGGUAGUUUGACUGGGGCGGUCGCCUCCUAAAGAGUAACGGAGGCGCGCGAUGGUGGGCUCAAGCUGGUCGGAAAUCAGCUGUCGAGUGCAAUGGCAUAAGCCUGCCUGACUGCGAGAUCGACAGAUCGAGCAGAGACGAAAGUCGGUCAUAGUGAUCCGGUGGUCCCGCGUGGAAGGGCCAUCGCUCAACGGAUAAAAGGUACGCCGGGGAUAACAGGCUGAUGACGCCCAAGAGUCCAUAUCGACGGCGUUGUUUGGCACCUCGAUGUCGGCUCAUCGCAUCCUGGGGCUGGAGCAGGUCCCAAGGGUUUGGCUGUUCGCCAAUUAAAGCGGUACGUGAGCUGGGUUUAGAACGUCGUGAGACAGUUCGGUCCCUAUCUGCCGUGGGUGUAGGAUACUUGCGAGGAGCUGCUCCUAGUACGAGAGGACCGGAGUGGACGUACCUCUGGUGGACCGGUUGUCGCGCCAGCGGCAUAGCCGGGUAGCUAAAUACGGAAGGGAUAACCGCUGAAAGCAUCUAAGCGGGAAGCCCCCCUCGAAACUAGUUCUCCCUUGAGAGCCGUGGAAGACCACCACGUUGAUAGGUCAGGUGUGGAAGCGCAGCAAUGCGUGAAGCUUACUGAUACUAAUCGCUCGAUUGGCUUGAUU
rnacentral:rRNA from 1 species